UUUGAUAAAUUUUGCAUUUUUACGCCAUCCAAGACAUAUUUCUUGGAAAAUCCGAAAACAAAACAAAAAAAAUAAAAUACCCAAAACACGUAUUGACUAUAUAGUUGUUGUUGUUGCAGUAGAAAAAUCCAAGAAAAAAACCCCAUUAUCAUCAUAUAUCACCAGAGCCUUAGUUUUUUCUCUGGCUUUGGGUUCAGACAUGGCAUCUUGGUGGAAGUUCUUGUUCAUAUCCUUUGUUUUUCUUGCUGUAGUUGCUCCUAAAGUCAAAGCAGAUUCUGGGUCGUCGUUGGAUGAUGAAGUUGAAGUGGUUAGUUCGGAUGUUCCCACUUCUCAAGAAUUGGAACAUCUUAAGUCCAAGAUCCAAUCUUUAGAAUCAAACUUUGAGGAGACUGCGCGAGCACUGAAAGGAAAGGAUGAGGCGAUUGCAGACAAAGAAAACAUUAUAAAAGAAAUGUCAGAGAAGAUUAAGUCAUUGUCAACUGAAUUGGCCUCUCUACAGAAAAAGGGAACACUAAAUUCCGAGGAGCAAGUUGGAAAGGCUCGUGCACUAGCUGAUCAGCUUGAAAAGCAGGUUGAGAUAUUAAAAGAGGAAGUUGAAAUGAAGAAUAAGGAGAAAAGAGACUUCGAAGCGCAUAUAGGUGAAACAGAGAAAAGAGUAUCGGAGUUAAAUUUGAAGGUUGACAAGCUCGAAAAGACCGUUGACAAACAGAAGGAGAAACUGAAAAAAACUGAACGAGCUCUUAAACUUGCUGAGGAGGAAAUGAUUAGAGCAAGGCUUGAAGCCACAUCGAAGAUGAAGGAGCUCAUGGAGGUGCAUGGGGCAUGGCUUCCACGUUGGCUUGAAGUUCAUAUGACUCACUACAAGUCUCUUUUGGAGAAGCAUUGGCAGGAGCACGGAAAACCUGCUAUGGACACAAUGAUACAGAAGGCAGCUGAGAAAAAGGCCCAAGCUGAGGUAUGGGUUGCGCCACAUAUAGAAACAGUCAAAACAAAAUGGAUGCCAGCUGUGAAGGAACAAUGGGUGGUAAUGACCACUAACCUCAAGCCACAAAUGGAAGUGGUUAGGACCAAAGGAUUUGAGAUUUAUGAGACAUCUAAAAGCGCCAUAACUCCACAUAUUGUCAAGGUUCAGGAGCUGGCAGAACCUCACGUUCAGGAACUUAAGAAAUUCAGCAAGCCAUACAUUGAUCAGGUUGCCACUGCUACAAAACCUCAUGUUGAAAAAGUUUGUAUUGCUGUAAAGCCAUAUACAGAUGUGGCAGUUCAUCAUUAUGGGAAGUUCCUGGAGUCUGCAACAGUAUACCAUAGUCAGCUGCAAGGUACAGUAGAUGAAACACUGAAGAAACAUGAGCUUACAAGACCUCUUGCAACAAAGGAGUUCGUCUGGUUUGCUGCUUCAGCAGUGUUGGCUUUGCCCGUUAUAAUUCUGUUCAAACUUUUGUCUGGCAUUUUCUGUACAAAGGCGAAGAAACCUACUCGACAUGGUCAUUCACACCAUUCACGUCGUAAGUCCAAGAGGGCGCACACAGACAAGUAGGGCAAGGUAGUACAAUGCUUUCAUCAGAAACCAAGUGCUUUACAGUUUGCAGAUGGGUCAUGUCAUUGUUUCACCGGGCGUUUGGAGUAUCAGUCAAAUCUGCAGAUGCUUUUUGUUUUCCAAGUUCUGCAUAGAUUUUCCAUAUGUGCAUAAAGCAUGAAUGGUGAGGGUAGUGGGUGUGAAAAAUUUACUUUUGUACUAUUACUGUUUCUUUGGUUUGGAUAGUGUUGGUGUUUUGUGGUCUUUCCACUACUCGCUGUCAACGUUACUAUGUUGCGACACUGUAUUUUAGUUGUGUAUUACAUAUCGACGUAGCUGUAUUAAGAUCUCCUCAGUCAUAUUUGAUCAUAGGUGUAACGAUGGAGGAAAAAUUAUUCGAAAACUUAAACGGAGGAUAAAUAUAAACAAUUUACCA